rnacentral:rRNA from 1 species
AUUAAACGCUGGCGGCAUGCCUUACACAUGCGAGUCGAACGGCAGCACGGGGGCAACCCUGGUGGCGAGUGGCGGACGGGUGAGUAAUGCAUCGGAACGUGCCCUGAAGUGGGGGGAUAACGCAGCGAAAGCUACGCUAAUACCGCAUAUUCUGUGAGCAGGAAAGCAGGGGAUCGCAAGACCUUGCGCUUUGGGAGCGGCCGAUGUCGGAUUAGCUAGUUGGUGGGUAAAGGCCUACCAAGGCGACGAUCCGUAGCGGGUCUGAGAGGAUGAUCCGCACACUGGGACUGAGACACGGCCCAGACUCCUACGGAGGCAGCAGUGGGGAAUUUUGGACAAUGGCGCAAGCCUGAUCCAGCCAUGCCGCGUGAGUGAAGA